UACGUAGGGGGCAAGCGUUAUCCGGAUUUACUGGGUGUAAAGGGUGCGUAGGCGGCUUUGCAAGUCAGAAGUGAAAUCCAUGGGCUUAACCCAUGAACUGCUUUUGAAACUGCAGAGCUUGAGUGGAGUAGAGGUAGGCGGAAUUCCCGGUGUAGCGGUGAAAUGCGUAGAGAUCGGGAGGAACACCAGUGGCGAAGGCGGCCUGCUGGGCUCUAACUGACGCUGAGGCACGAAAGCGUGGGUAGCAAACAGG
rnacentral:rRNA from 1 species